AGCAGCAAGACAUUAUUGUUUCUCACUAUUAGUGUGGUAGGGUUCAGGUUUAGUGUAAUAGGGGACCAAUGGAAUUGGAAUCUGAACACAGUAAAGACAAUUGAUGAUUUUGGUUUUUUUUUUUUUUUUUUUUCUUUUUUGAUACCAGGGAUCAAACUCAUGACCUUGCACUUGCCAGGAAGGAGCUUACAACACUGAGCUAAAUGCACAGCCUGGAAUUUCUAUCCAGUCAGUAAGGUGGAGAGUCUAUAAAUGGGUACUCAUGAAGAGAAAUGUUCUUGCUAAACAGACAUAAUGGGAUUCUUACUCAGGUUACAGCGCAAGCCAGUUCCAUGGAUUUGAGGUUGUGACAUGUUGCCCACCAGUACUGCUGCCUGCUGAGAGUGGAGGAUGUAUUAUUUACAGGAAGAAACGAUUAGAGACACUGAUUGAAGAGAGGAAAGAGAUUCCCAAUAGAAGGACACUUGAAGAAAGGAACCCACCAAAGUCUGCUGCACAAGAUUAGGACUCAGUUCCAGCAUCAACACAAACAAGGAGCCAGGACUGAAACAGGCUCAGUGAGUCCUUCCAUUUAAUUUAAGCCAUGCCACUGAAAACUCUCAGUGAGUCAUGUUUAGUCAUUUUGGACAAAAUAUGAACCUGUUAGAGAGUUUGGUAUCACUGAAAACAAUAUUUUAGUAUUCACUUUAGUUAUUUCAAUGAUUUAAACAGAACUUUUUUGAAGAGAUUCAUUUUAAAA